ensembl:lncRNA
UUUGGAGAGAAAACAGCAGAUUUAUUCAGCCAUCGUGAGACACGAGUUACAUAACGAGGAGGAAUAAAGUCAAUCUGUAUUUCUGUUUCUGCAGAGGAGGAAGAAGUUACAUAACAAAACCAAACAGCAAAUACAAAAAUUCAUCAUCAGUCACACAGAAAUCACACAUUCAUGUCACUUUAACACAAAAUAUAUUUCACUGCAUAUGCUGUGUGAAGACUAUUUAAAAAGAAACUUUAAUUUUUUUUGUUUUGUUUUUUAAUUUGAGGUUAACUUAUUAGGACUUCAAAGAUAAACUGCAGUUUAAAUUUUCUCUGCCUGCUGUCGGUGUUUCACUCUCAGAAUGCUAGUUUUUCAGGUCAGAGGUGGUGUCCCUUUAAUGGCAGGAUUCAGCAUCUGAAGUCUUGAAAGAUGAUAUAUUAUUUUGUUUGGAUGAAUUUGUAUUUUCCAAAUGAUUUUGUUUUGCACAAUUUUUUCUAUAGAAUUCAUUAUAAUCAUUCACAUACAUGUUUGAAAAUGUUCACUUUACAUGCAGACGUUUUUAUCGCGUUCACAAGACUGUAUUUUGGUUGUUUUUACCUCAGAGUAAGAUUCAUAUCUAAUAUUUUGUGCAAAGUACUUCUCUGUCCACACAAAACAGUCAUUUCUGUCAAAAGGAGCAACAUCUUCUGGGUUGUAGAAUGCUAUUUUCUCAAUUACUUGUUACCUGUUUCGGAUGACUAAAUCAGAGUUAUCACUUGUUAUGAAGCCCACAGAUAUCCUAUUUAAUUUUAACUUCAUUUAAUGCUAGCAGUGCUUUGUGGUUCGAAAUGCGGAGUUCCAAAAAUCUGCACUUGGAGGAUGGGUGGGUCAAGUUUGAAUCUCAUUAUGUUUGUAUUUGUUUUUGACUUAAGAUUUAUUGUGACUUUUGUUUUCACUGUUUACUUUUCCUUUAAGUCACUGUCUAGUUACGUUGAUUCGAGUUAGGAAAAGGUUAUGUUUAGGCUUGAAAAUCAGUUUUUCUACGUUUACCUCAUGUUAAGUGCCUAAAUUUGUAUGUUUGAAGGGUGACAUGUUAUUGGUAUAUAGUAUAACAGAUGAUAAUGUCCCCAGUAGAACGUGGAGGAGUCCAUCUACAGCUGAUAUCAAUGGGGCAUGUAAACAACUGAUAAUGUCUGAAUCAGAUGCAUUUUUAUUAAUCUGUAAAAUACCAAAAACAGGAAGCCGCUUUAGGGUCUUUUCUAUCUUCACCACGUUUCUCAAAUCUCACCAGGUUGGCAGAUCGUCAUUGAAACAGCUGCGAGUUUCUUAAAAUCAGUUUUUCUUGCUCACGGUUUUCUAAACCACAAACCAGAACCUCCACGCCGAGCGUAACCGGCUGAGACAAAUUUGUAGUUUUUCCUCAUCACUUUAAUCCACCCAAAGUUCAACAACCCCUAGUGGACAGCAGAGGAACUGCAGCUCGGUACCUCAGCUGUGCAGGCUGCUGAUUGGUUCACAUCAGAUUAAAGUUGAUCUAAAGGUGUGAGCAGGUGAACAGCUUCUGUAAGAGAAAAAUGAGCUGAAACUGACUUUUAUUCAGUGCUUCCUGCAGGUUUGGGCAGCAGGAAACACUGAGGCUCAAGGUGCCAAAACUCACAGAAAAUCUUUGUGAUCGAUAAUCUUACAAUAAUAAUAUUCAAAAUGAGACAAUGAUACAAACACAGCUCAAAAGAAUCUUCCAUAAAUCAUAACAAAUAAAGCAUAAAAAGCAUUUGAUGAAGAUAAGAAAACUUGACGGAACAGUUUAAACAACAUAUUUCAUGUUCAGGUUGUAUGUUCAGGAGACGUUGACGGGAAAGUUCUCUCCAGUGUUGUUGGACUGUAAGCAGAGACGGGGAUCGAAGAGGAAGAGGAAGAGGAAGAGGAAGAGAGAAACUAUGGCGGAGAUAAACAACUUCAGCAGCCGGCGACUGAUCCUGAGAGCAGCUCCGAGUUUCCAAGAAUCACAAUGAGGCAGAUUGAGCCGAGAGGUCUGAAGGUUUGAAGACAUCGAUGGCGACCGAACGAUGUCAACACAGAAUUAUUAAAAUGGAAAAAAAUAAAGUUCUGACAGUAAAAUACACCUUAAUGGAAGAUAUUUCUGCCAAGUUUUUCCUGUUUCACAUCGCGUUUCCGAGUUUACACCAUUUUCUGCACCAAGCAUCUGUAGUUUUGCCAAAAGAAGUCUGGAAUGACCCAAGCAGAAUAGUUGAACAGGGAGCAGUGAUAGAGGAGGGAAUGUAAAAACUCCCACGCUCUGAGAAAUCCAGUGAACACACCACAAGGACCAACAGCAGCAGCAGCAGCUCAGAUUUUCCUUUAACAGACUUUCUGACUGCAUCAGUUUUAGCCGCAGGGAGGAAGUGGACGGUCGCCACGAUGAGAGGGAACGCCAUGACUCAGCGGUUUCCAAGGCAACCAUUCAUCAUUCACAUGGAUUUCCCUGCCGAGGAGCUACUGCUGCGUUCACAUAUGUCUGCACCUUUUCCUUACUUCUGGUUGUUUUUGCUUUCAUUUGAAACUUUUGUCCAUUCAUCCCUCUCUUUUCUAUCCUGUGGAGGGUAGCGGGGAACUUUAUUCCAUCUUAACGCUUUUUUUUUUUUUACCUAAUUCAACAUGUGGAGCAGAAACUACAGCGGGAAGAAGCCUUGGAACUAUUACAGAAGUGAUAGAAAUUAAUCAAUCAAUACUGAUGCAAUCCAUAAUUAAGUUUAUGAUGAAAAUGGAUUAUUUGCUAAUUAGCCAGACCAGAAACAAAAAUAAACAGAAACAAAAGGAGACAGUCAAGUUAGUUAGUUAGUUGUUUAGCUAGUUAGUUAGUGUAAAGAAUCCUUUGACACAUUUGGACCAUUUGGAUAUAACUGUUUGAAAGUACAAUUUAACAUUGACAUAAAUAAAUAAAAUGCGGAAAUUUGUAAAAUAUCUAGAAAAUUGAACAGAGUUUGGUUGGUGGUGGAGUAUCAAUGUUAAAUCCUGGACUGUUCCUUAGAAAGUGCUGGAAUAAUGUUUUUUUAAUCAGUUUUUUUCUCAUAAUUACAGCUGAUAUUUAAAAAAAAUGUUACCACAAAUUAACAAAAAUUUUGGUUUUUUUCUUUACAAAACUCAAAACAAUUAAUUCAUUUUUAUAGGAAUAUAUUAAAGGCAUUUAUCUGCAAGCCGAUUAAACAACUACAUCCACACAUCAACCAAAAUGUCCCGAAGUUUGAGAACAUUUGAGCAGAUCAAUUGAAACAGCAGAAAAUUACAAACAUCUGCUUAAAAAAUGUUCACAAUACAAAGCAGGAAAACACUUGAUCAAACACCAGAUGCAGCAUAAAAUGUUUUUAACAAAAGCAUCUCAACGUAUCACUUGAGGACCCAAAAUGUGUCGGCUGAAGAUCCAUUUAGGGCCCGCGAACCGCAGUCUGAACAGUCGAGUGACAGGAGGAAUAAUUCUGCAGUGAAAAAAAAUGGAAACAAAGGACUUUUACAAAACGCGGUGGUUCUCUAACGGAACUUUUGAACUGUGUGUCCUCAGAGUUCAGCGGAGCGACGUCUAUAUUUAAACUGGGAGUAUUAAACACACACACUCACACACACACAGUCCAGUGUAGCAGGGAUUCAUGGGACUUUCCCAUCUCCUAAAACAAGAGUCUUUCAUCAUUCAGCACCAGCAGUGGGGCUGGCCACACCGAGGCAUCCUGGGAAAUAAAGUCCGAGAUGAUGUCAUCACUGUGGCCAUGUGAUCCCUGAACAAACGCGAGGGCUGAAGAACAGCCAGAAAAAGGUGUAAUAAUCCUUUAAAAGCUGAGCGUUGCGCAGAAUGAAGCAACCUGGGAAAUGGAGUCCAGGAAGGAAACACUCCAAACCUGAAAAUGUCUCAGUGAAUCCUGGAAAAUGCAGUCAUUCUUUUUGGGAAUUUAACACUUUUGAGCCAAAAAUUACAGACAUUCUGUCGCUUAUUGGAAAUCAUGACUAGGAAAGGAUGCUGGGAAAUGGAGUCCAGUGAUGGGAUCUGUGGGUUUAUUUUAAUACUGACGGGGGGAAAAACCACCACCAAGUCUGCCUUCUCUAAUUUAUCAGAUCUAAAUCGUUCGUUUCAUAUUAAUUUCGAUCAUGGAAAUAUUUCAUUUGGCAAAAUGCGAAAGUAGAGAAAGCUCAUUGGCAUGCUGGGAAAUGUAGUCUUUGUCUUUGUGUUUGUUUUGGAGGAUCAGAUCCAGAGCUGGUGGUUCGUUGGACGUGAUAAAGAUCUCAGCUGGGCAGGAGUCUCCGUGUGGACUCGUGUUUGGAUGGUUUUUAACAGCAAUUGCUGAUUUUCAGUCUUGGCUAGCAAAAAAAAUAAAAGUUUCUAAAGAAAACGCACAAAAGGAGACAGCCUGGUGGCCACAUUGCAUGAAAACUGAAAUUUCCACAGUAAAAUCUGGCUUGUUCCAGGCCAAGACAGCGCCCCCUGCAGGUGGUCAUGGCUUUGCUUAAGAACACUUCAGCAGGAGGGCAGUCGAGGCCUCCGGCUGGCGGUCGGAUGGUGGAAGAGAGGCUCAGAGGUUCAGAGGAAGGAGGAGGAGGUCAGUCAGCUGGUCUGGGUUCAGUUCAAA